UGGGGAAUCUUCCGCAAUGGGCGAAAGCCUGACGGAGCAAUGCCGCGUGGAGGCAGAAGGCCCACGGGUCGUAAACUCCUUUUCUCGGAGAAGAAGCAGUGACGGUAUCCGAG
rnacentral:rRNA from 1 species